ACUUUUCAGGGGAGGUGUUGCCAGCAAAGGCAUGACAUCCCCCAUGGGGACAAAGGUUGCCAGGACAACCUCUGCAAGGAUGACCUCUCCCACAACCGGGGUCUGAAGGGGAUAACAGAAGGUCUCUGAUGGGUACAGGUGAUGUGCCUGGGAAGAGAAGUGUGGUGUAUGCUAGGCCAGUGCCUCUGAACCCCCAGCACUGGGGCUACUGUGGUACAUGGGAAAUCCACCAGCCAACUUGGCUUCAAGAUGCUCAACCCUUUUCAGCUCCCCCAAUGACUGAGCCGCUGCCUCAGAAAGAACUUCAGUCUUUCGAGUGCACCCAGAAAUGUAAGAUUUGGAUAAGGAAGACUGGAACAGUCAGGAGUAGGAGGAAUGGUUCCUGUGGAUAGAGUGGAGGUCAAGCCAUGAAUUUGGGAGAUGGUUUAAAGCUUGAAAUUGAAUUGCUGGAUUGAAGAACCAAGUUAUUAUUGUCUCCAUACGAAUAUAAAUUAAAAUUUUCUGUGAAGAGA